UAAUUUCAGGCAAAGUGAUGCACUUUAAAUCUAAAUCAGGGGUGGGCAAUUAAUUUUUACAAGGGGCCACAUGAAAAACCUGAGUUGUGUCAGAGGGCCACACCUACGAUAACUUAAACCUGCUCAAUUUUCUUCCAUUGUAAAAUGCACUAAAUUAUUUAUUUUAAAUAGCUGGUACUGGUAAUUAGAAGAAUACAAUUAUUCUGUUUAUAUUUAUAUUAAGCUAUGUGAAAUUGUGGUGUAUAGGUCAAAUAAAAAAACAAUCAUUAAUCAGUACAAUUUAUUCUUAACUUAUUUAACUUUUCCUCAAAUGACAAAGCCGCUG